UUCUCUUCGAAUCUGCCUGCUUUCGAGUUUGUUUACUCGAUUAUCGUUUUAUCUUCGCUUUCGAUCGAUCUAAUAUGUGUUUGGAUGAUGUAUUUUUUUCCACUUCGCCGCCAAAUUCAGUGACGAUUUCUCUUUUGCUUCUUAUCCUUUUUUUUUUUUUUCUUUUUUCCUUGUGAUUUGUUGGUUGAAAAGUUAGUGUUAUUGUUGGUUGAUUCCUCCAUCGCCUUAUCGACGGGUUAGGGUUUCGAGAUUUCCUUUUCUUUUCUGGGUCUCAUGCGAUGGCCGGCGGCCUGACUGCAGGUGAUCAAGUGUUUGAUUUUUAGUCGAGUUAUUUGUUGCUUGUUGUACUCCCUCGUUAACAACUCGGGAGCGCGGUGCAGAUUGCGGUGCAAAUGGUAAGUUAUGGUGUUCUGCAAUGCUAGUGUUACUGUAGAGGGAUUACGAAGAUUUACUAUCGGAAAUCGUAACAUAUAGGGAAACUAAAUUGUUGAUACAUUGUGUCAUCCUGUUGAGUGUGUCAAACUUGUUAAUAAACUGCAUUAAACAACAUUCUCUUCUCCGUGCAGAGAAAGACGUUCGCUUUGAUUUUCUCUAUCUAUGUCUAAGAAUGUUUGCUUUUAUCUAUCUAGUCAGGUAGGAAGGAAACAGUUCAUGAUUUGGCGAAGUUCAUCGACAUAGGCGUCCAGGUCAAGUUAACUGGGGGAAGACAAGAAAGCUGCUUGUGUACAUCGAUAAGGACCAUUAGAAGUAAACCAGGUAGGCAUAUGUUGAAGUGAAAAGGUUAUGAUCAGCUGCUAAACUUGGUGCUAGACAAAGCGACAGAGUUCCUGAGAGAUCGUGAUGAUCCACUGAAGACAAUGAUCAAACCAGGCGCCUUGGUCUAAUCAUAUGUAGGGGGCCUGCUGUAAUGUUGGUCUCGCCGACAGAUGGAACAGAUGAAAUUGCAAACCCCUUUAUCCAACCGGAUGGAACAAGAUGUCGAUUUUAUUUGCUGGCAUGCUCUCUGCUUGGCUCGGAACAAUACUCGGACAACAGAAGGAAGAAGGCACGGCAUGAAUAAGCUGCCACCGCAGGAACUGCGGGUCACAUGGUCCUCCUCCUGCCGUAAGAAGAAGCUGCAGAGAGGAAGACGAGACGAGGUGGGCUGGCGGGGGUCCUCGCUUUUCUUCGGCCUCCUCGAUACAAGGAUGGGGUGGACCGCCUCCACCUCUUCCCCUUCGCUCCGGGAUAAACUGCAACCGAACAAUUAGCGGAACGUGCCAUGCUGGUCGCCCGAUAUGAUGAUAAGCCGCAGGCCAUCAUCACCUCGUCCUAACUAUAUGAUGGUACGGUUCCAUGCUUCCUCUUCCUUCUAUGCUAUAAACUGAUUUGGAUCAUCUAAUCUCUAAAAUAACAUAUGCUCAUUCGAGGAA